rnacentral:pre_miRNA from 1 species
UUCCAAUCCAGAGGACAGCCAGAGAGAGAGACCUGCUGUCCUUUGUAUUAGGAGA